CCUACGGGAGGCAGCAGUAGGGAAUCUUCCACAAUGGACGAAAGUCUGAUGGAGCAACGCCGCGUGAGUGAAGAAGGUUUUCGGAUCGUAAAACUCUGUUGUUGGAGAAGAACGUAUUUGAUAGUAACUGAUCAGGUAGUGACGGUAUCCAACCAGAAAGCCACGGCUAACUACGUGCCAGCAGCCGCGGUAAU
rnacentral:rRNA from 1 species